GCCCGCACAAGCGGCGGAGCAUGCGGAUUAAUUCGAUGCAAACGCGAAGAACCUUACCAAGGGCUUGACAUACACCGGAAACAUCCAGAGAUGGGUGCCCCGCAAGGUCGGUGUACAGGUGGUGCAUGGUUGUCGUCAGCUCGUGUCGUGAGAUGUUGGGUUAAGUCCCGCAACGAGCGCAACCCUCGUUCUAUGUUGCCAGCGCGUUAUGGCGGGGACUCAUAGGAGACUGCCGGGGUCAACUCGGAGGAAGGUGGGGAUGACGUCAAAUCAUCAUGCCCCUUAUGUCUUGGGCUUCACGCAUGCUACAAUGGCCGGUACAAAGGGCUGCGAUACCGCGAGGUGGAGCGAAUCCCAAAAAACCGGUCUCAGUUCGGAUUGGGGUCUGCAACUCGACCCCAUGAAGUCGGAGUCGCUAGUAAUCGCAGAUCAGCAACGCUGCGGUGAAUACGUUCCCGGGCCUUGUACACACCGCCCGUCAAGUCACGAAAGUCGGUAACACCCGAAGCCGGUGGCCUAACCCUUGUGGGGGGAGCCGUCGAAGGUGGGACUGGCGAUUGGGAGUAAGUCGUA
rnacentral:rRNA from 1 species